CUGUAGAAUUAAUGGCAAAAU
rnacentral:miRNA from 1 species